GAGAGUGAGAUUACCCCUUUCCUCCCUAAUUGCUCCAUGUGUGUUGCUCCUGAGGUUGUGCCCUCAGUCAAAUAGAAUGGCCUUCCCAGAAUAGGGAUGAGCGGUCUUCAGUCCAGGUUAUACAGAGGAGAUGUGCUCCCCUACUAGAACCUUUAAACAAGAUGGUGAUUUUUUUAUUGGGUAGUCAGUAACAAGCAUCACUAAGUUCUGUUUGGUAUUAGAAUUAUUAUUUUCAUUAUU
rnacentral:snRNA from 1 species